CCUACGGGUGGCAGCAGUGGGGAAUAUUGGACAAUGGGGGCAACCCUGAUCCAGCCAUGCCGCGUGUGUGAAGAAGGCCCUCGGGUCGUAAAGCACUUUCAGUGAGGAAGAACGCCUGGUGGUUAAUACCCAUCAGGAAAGACAUCACUCACAGAAGAAGCACCGGCUAACUCCGUGCCAGCAGCCGCGGUAAUACGGAGGGUGCGAGCGUUAAUCGGAAUUACUGGGCGUAAAGCGCGCGUAGGUGGCUUGAUAAGCCGGUUGUGAAAGCCCCGGGCUCAACCGGGGAACGGCAUCCGGAACUGUCAAGCUAGAGUGCAGGAGAGGAAGGUAGAAUUCCCGGUGUAGCGGUGAAAUGCGUAGAGAUCGGGAGGAAUACCAGUGGCGAAGGCGGCCUUCUGGACUGACACUGACACUGAGGUGCGAAAGCGUGGGUAGCAAACAGGAUUAGAUACCCUGGUAGUC
rnacentral:rRNA from 1 species